rnacentral:rRNA from 1 species
UAUUUAAGUUGUUGCAGUUAAAAGCUCGUAGUUGGAUUUCGGUUAAGAGCGACCGGUCCGCCGUUUGGUGUGCACUGGUUGGUUUUAACUUCCUGUAGAGGACGUGCCCUGGGCUUAACGGUCUGGACUCGGAGUCUACGUGGUUACUUUGAAAAAAUUAGAGUGUUCAAAGCGGGCUUACGCUUGAAUAUUUCAGCAUGGAAUAACACUAUAGGACUCCUGUCCUAUUUCGUUGGUCUCGGGACGGGAGUAAUGAUUAAGAGGAACAGUUGGGGGCAUUCGUAUUUCAUUGUCAGAGGUGAAAUUCUUGGAUUUAUGAAAGACGAGCUUCUGCGAAAGCAUUUGCCAAGGAUGUUUUCAUUAAUCAAGAACGAAAGUUGGGGGCUCGAAGAUGAUUAGAUACCAUCCUAGUCUCAACCAUAAACGAUGCCGACUAGGGAUUGGCGGAUGUCAAUUGAUGACUCCGCCAGCACCUUAUGAGAAAUCAAAGUUUUUGGGUUCCGGGGGGAGUAUGGUCGCAAGGCUGAAACUUAAAGGAAUUGACGGA